rnacentral:rRNA from 1 species
GUGUCAGCAGCCGCGGUAAGACGUAGGGGGCCAGCGUUGUUCGGAAUUACUGGGUGUAAAGGGUUCGUAGGCGGUGUGGCAAGUCGGGAGUGAAAUCUAUGGGCUUAACCCAUAGUCUGCUUCCGAAACUGCUGUGCUGGAGUGUGGGAGAGGCGCGUGGAAUUGCAGGUGUAGCGGUGAAAUGCGUAGAUAUCUGCAGGAACACCCGUGGCGAAAGCGGCGCGCUGGACCACUACUGACGCUGAGGAACGAAAGCUAGGGGAGCAAACAGGAUUAGAUACCCCGGUAGUCC